rnacentral:tRNA from 1 species
AAUUCUAGUUAACUUAUAACAUUAGAUUGUCAAACUAAAAUUACCUAAUAGUGA